rnacentral:lncRNA from 1 species
CUGUUCUUCUUCUCCAAAGAACACUCGAACAAGCCCCAAAUUCCGUCAAAGUUCAUGGCGAGUGAACAUCAAUCUUCAACCCACACGUUCCCCCCAUCCCUCCUCUCUCCGCUCUAACGGUUUCUGACACCAGAUAUUCCCUCUCCUCUCACUCGCCCGAUUUCGAACCAUUUCACGCGAUUGGAAAGCUCUGGAGAACGUUCGUUGGAUGAGUAUGAGGCGUUGGAUCGAUCUCACUGAAUCCAAGCCCCACAUUCAUCAGAGAUUCGUUUUCAAAAAGGGCCAAUUCCAAUUCCGUGAGGAGAGAUUUUUCGGGUAAGAAUCUUGGAGAAGACGGAGGGUAAAAAAAUUAAUGGUCCUUCUUCUUCUUCUGGAUUGAAUUUUAGUUUAGUUCCGGUCUAUAAAGAAAAAUACAAAAAAUCUGUUUGGGUUGGGUGUUUAAUCUGAUUCUCUUCUUUGUUCUCUAUAUUUUAAAAACAAAUUCAAAAAAAUUCUCAUUCUUAACUGAUGAGCUCGGGUUUGAACUCGAAGGAAAAUGAACUGAGGUCUACUAACUGUUCAUGAGCUUCGAUUUCGUCGACUCUGUUUCUGUGGUUGCUCAGCUGCUUCGCCAUUGAACCUCGAUGUGAUUUGGAAUCAAAGGGUGUAUUGUCGAGUAUAUAGCUAUUGAAAGGAGUUUGAAAUUUCAGCUGUUGUCACUCCAUAUUCCAAGGCCGGAUUUGUUUGUAUUGGAGUCCAAAUUAAAUUAGUCAAAGCUUCACGCAAUUAGGUUCAAUCUCUUUUUCUUUUCUUAUGUUUGUUUGGAUGUUGAUUGAAAAUACGAUAAGAGCCAUGGAAAUCCAUUUUAUAGAAGUAAUUCUUUGACUAAUUCCAUUAGAGGUUGAAUUUGAGGUUAGCUUUCAGUUUCAGUUUACGUUUGGAAAUGCUAUUUGACAUGACGUUUGUUGUUCGAAUCUUACACUAAUUGUUCUGUUCUGCUCUGCCUCAUGCUUGUAAUGUAUACUCACAUGGUUCUUCGCUUGGUUAUCUGACUCUCUAGUACGAGUGUUUCUGGUUAUCUGCUUAGGGUCGUAGUGCCUGCUCAUCGAUGCCUAAAUCGUUCUGUUGUUAGUUUCUCAUGACAUGAUACGACUUUGCUGCGGAAUUUCUGAGUUUGCAUUCUUAUGCUGCUGUCAUUUUGAGUUUCUGUGGGAUUGAAUCAAUGAGUUCGAGUUUAGUUUCUUAUUGACUUGUGACUAGCUGAGAGUCUUCCUUUUGUAAAAUCAGUCGAGCUAUGUCGACUCUCUUUGAUGUAUUGCAGCUGAAGCUUGGUUUGAGUCUGUUUGUUGCCAUUGUUUGGAUUUGAAUUGAAGUUCGAGGUUCACUUGUUUAAAACUGAGCUGACUAUGAGUUUUCUGAAAAAAUUCAACCUAAGUUCAGAUUGUUGUUUUUCUUUUCUUUUCUCUGAAGAAACAAAUGGGAAGUUUCGUGUUUGGUUUUGGGAAAGUUCAAGGUUUCAGCUGUUGAAAUAUGAUCCGUGCUUGUGUUAAUAGUGUGCUGUAAUUCGGAUUCAUUGGUCUACGGUCAUGGACUGCUCUCAUGUUGAAGGGAGGAUCGUUUCAUAAUGAGCUUUUCCCUGUGCAUCUUUGUCGCAUAUAGAAUUGUACUGCAACCUUUGAUCAAUUUGUUGCUGAAAUCGCUGUGCUACGCUGUUCAUCUUCAUGUCUAGCUUUCUUGGCCAAUUGUGGACUGUUUUGCUGCUGUCCAAGUACCAUUUUUGGUCCCUGUAGAAUUUCGAAUUACAGGAUAAAAGAUUUCUUGCUGGUAGUAAGUGUGUUGUAUUCCUGUAACCUGGGCAGGUGCAAGUUUAGCUGAUAUUGGAUAUACUAGACGGUAGUAGACUCUUGUUGCUUCUAUACAACCACUAUUUGGGUCAUGUUUGUUUGAGCAGUUCAGUUUUGCGCUUAUUUACAAAUAUGAAAUGGGUUUAGAUUUGAUGAAAUUUCUUCAGUUAAAUAUAUGUGGGAUUUU